rnacentral:lncRNA from 1 species
UUUUUUAUGCUUGCCUGCAUUAAUUCACAAUUUUCAUCUCAAUCGUAUUUUGACCCUUGGCUUGCAUCUAAAGAAGCGUCAAAGUCAAUGUUUGAAUUUUGACUUUACUAUUCUAGGCUUUUCUUCAUAUUUCAUAUAUGUCUUUAUUUUUUUAAUUUUUUAUUCGACCUUUUAAUUUUUAUGCAUAUAAUUGUUUUAGUUAUUUUUUUCAAUUAAAAUUUAAGAUUUCACAGUAGGUGUCCUCUUUGCUAUUAUCAUUUGUCUCAAAUUAUUUGUCACUUUAGAAUAUCAAUGUGAUAUUUAUUUUUUUCCACAAACAUACCCUUAUUUAUUAUAUUUUAAAUUAUGUAACUACUCCACUACCUACUAUUAAUAAGGUUAUUUUCGUAAAUUGCAUUUGUUUUAUUAUUGAAAUCAAGACAAUUAAUCAUUAUCUUAAAAAGUGUGAAAAUCCCAAAGAGAACACCUAUUGUGAGAUGAAGGGAGUAAUAUUUAGUUGAAAUGCAUUCAAUAUUGAAAAAAUGUGAUUUUUCCAUGACAAAAAUACUUUCAAGUUUAUGUAACUUUUUACGGAUUUUAUUGAAAUACUAUAAAAGCAUUUCAUUUAAGUAUAGUAUUAACUAUUUUUUUAUUAAUGUGUUCAUUACUAAUUAUUAAGUAGUCAAAUUUAAUAAUAUUUUAUAAAAUGCAGUUAUCUAUGAUGUCUAUAUAAUGAAAACAUGAUUUUAGCCUUUCAUCAUGCAAUAAAAAAU